rnacentral:lncRNA from 10 species
GUGGGGGUCCAGGCCGCCCUGCUGGUCCCUCCUCGCUCUGGCCCCGCGGCACUUGCCUCUUCCCGGGCCAUCGCAGGGGCUGCAGCCUCGCUCAGCUAGCCUGGGCUCAGUACACGCCCUGGACGCAGAGGGCAACCACCUGCUCCCGGCGCGCCGCAGAGCCGGGGAACGUCGUGGUGGCCGGGGGAUUUCGGCCGCCGCCAGGCCUGCGCUGCCCCCGCGGCCUCUCCUCCCCCGCCGCCCGCCUGUUGCUGUGGGGACAGCCGGUGGACGCGCUCGACCUGGGAGGGGGGACUCCCUCCCGGGACCGCGGGAGGGGCGUGCACGUUUGAAGGGAUGGAAAUCUCCCUUUCUGCCCACCCCCUUUCUUUUGUCAAUUACUCUAAGGAUGUUUGGCCGUUACUCCCAGCUUCCCUCUCUUUGGUCUUUCACGUCAAGGAUGUGAAUUCGGGGGUGCUCCAUUUUCAGGGGCUUUGGUGAUAGGACUGAAGUUUUCCAUAUUGUCCAUCUUACCAGAAGCUUUUAUUCAGGGUGAGGAGUGGGCUAGAAAUAAGUAGGUGCCUGCCUGACGCAGCGAAAAGAGAAGGACGCUCCCAGUUUGGAUGCAUUUGGAGAGAGUAACUGGAAAGUUGCAUUUUGUUUAAAUUAGAGCAAGAUGAAGUUGAAAGCCAGAUUUCUAUAUUUUUUCUGGUAAUAUUUCUUUUAUGAAGUAUCUAAGUGUCUGUUUGUCAUCAUUUUGAGAUCAAAAGGAAAAUCCAUAUGCUGUAUAGUUUUUCGAAAUUGCUAUUUAAAUAUGUUUUAAAUGUUUUGUCCAACGUGGAGUAGGCUGCUUGGAGGCAAGGCUGGUGACAGGAAUAGCGGGAUGGUUUGAUGUGGAGUGGUGCUUCCGAAGACCUGACGAAUCAUCGGAAUCACCGAAGGGGUGUUUUGUUGUUGUUGUUGUUGUUGUUGUUGUUGUUUUAAAUAAAGAUUUCUGGGCCCACCCCAGUGAGGUAAUCAGAAGAAGGACCUGGGAAUCUGGGGGUCACCCUGUGUCUUUAAUUACUGCUCAGCUGGUUUGUUACUGACUCUGUGACCUUCAGUGUGUUACUUAAUCUGUUUGAGACUCAGUUCUUUUUAUCUGUGAAGUGGGGAUAAUAUCCAAAUCAUAGAUUUAUUGAGAGACUUCUACACGACUAAACUUGUUCAGCACAUGACUAGUGCUCAAUACUUGGAAGGUAUGUUGCCCACAAAUGAGUGCUGUGUACACUCGAGCUGACAUGUAUUCUUAUAAGGACCUGUCCCUAUCCCCAACGUUUUGGUGAAGCCAGCUGGACUGUCAUGGGAUAUGUAUGUGUAUGCACAUUUUAGCUCAUGCAUAGUUGUCACCUUUACAUGCUUUCCCCUCCCCCGUCUUUUAGGCCAUAAAAUAAAUCAGAAUUGGCACAUUUGGAAGCUAGGCCCUGUGCUUUUGGACCUAGAACUGUCCAUCAGGCCUACUGGCAAAGGGGGGAAUUUACCAAUCUGAAGUCUACUUCCUCCUCCACCCCACCCCCACCUUUUUUUGGCCCGUUCACCCUCCCUGUUUUAUAGAUGGCAAGCAUCUCCUAAAGAAACCGCUGGUCAGACCAAUGAAACCACAGGACAAAGAGUUCUCUUCAAAAGGGAACAACAAGAAGGAGAGAAAAAAAAAAAAGACAACAUUCCUAGUGAUCUUUCCGUGGGAAUGCGGCAAGGAGUCAGCAGGCAUAGUGAAAAUGGGCGGCGAUGGAUACUCCCAGCACUUGCUGAGCACUGCUACGCCUCAGGACUGGGACAGAGAGAACCAUUCUCUGCUUUCAAUAGGACAGAAGAGCUCCUUGGCACUGGAUGCCUCCGGGUCUGGUUGAGAGAGGAAUGGUUAGGAGACUGUUCUGAGGAUACGCAGACAUCAUCCAAAGCUUCCUACAUUCAGAUGAGGACAGAGGUUGGGCCAGAGCUUUGUAAGCUUGUUACCUAAGGAUGGUUCUGACCAUGUAAGCAGAUCACAGAAGCUGGAGGCAAAGGAUGCCAAGAUGGGAAAGCCACAUAAUGGAAGGAUCCUGGAUUUCAGAGCUGUCACUUGGAGGAGGGGCACCCAGUGAAGGUGUCUUAUCUAACCCACACCAUAUCUUCAUGAAGUGGCCAUAUGGAUUUGAUCCCUAUCCUUCAGAGGUGCUCAGCCUAAGGGAACACGGAUAGUAGAUUAAGCACUGACCAGGUGAAAAAGAUUGAUCAUCAGAUGUUUCUUAUGUAUCAACCUGAUAUUUAAAUCCAUGAAGGACAGAGACGACAAAGGCAGGUGGAAUAGAUAGAGAAGAGAUUCAAGGUCUGAGCUCUACAUUACUCAAACUGUUAGAGAUUAGGAAGAAGAGGAAGACCUGGCAAAAGAAUGUCCUGGGAUGUAGAAAGAAAACCAGAAGCUUGUGUUCUCUGGAAACCAAAUGAAGAAAGGGCUUCCAGAAGGACAGACAAAGUGUAGUGUGUCAAAGGCUCCUGAGCAAUCAGAGGAGAGCACAAAGGGGCUCACAGGACUUUGGUAUCUGGAUCACCCAGUGACACUUCCUGAUCACGAGAAACUGUCAGACCAACAGGGGCACUUUCUGAAACCAGCAGUUCUUCAGUGCCCAAAUGCAACCUUGAUGGUUUGAUUUUGGAGGAUGGCAAUUCAUUAACAGCACUCCCCAGUGAUAAAUAUGAAAACCAAUAAAACCCCCCACCCAAGGCAAUCUCUCCCAGCUCCUCGCUUUGAGUAAAGUGAGUAACCUCCAUUUCUGCCAACUCCUGUCUUGUCUGAAGCCACAUUUCCCCAGCAAUGUCACAUAUGCAUUUCUUGAUCCUGGUCAUUUCUCCUCUUGGGAGAUGAAUCAUAAAGAAAAUGAGAUCUGUGUGCCCUGGUGACUAUGGAUGCAAGAGUCUGCUGCCCUGGAGGGAACAGCUGGAAAAGUAGAUGGUGAAGACGUGUGGGGGGGAAACAGUGGAGAAGGCAUCUUUGCAGGGGAUCAAGGUGACAGAGUGAUUAGUUACACUGUUUUGACAUGUGAGAACAGGGGGUUAUAAAAAUGGAUACAGGAAGAGGGAGAGAAAGUAAGGACCAAAACAUGAAGCCAGUCAUGAAUGUUUUUACAUAAAAAGCAGCAGAUUUACGGCAAAUAUGUGAUGUUUCCACAUUUUCUGCCUCUAGUUAGCAGGGGCAGCACAAAGAGCAUUACUGUGGAGCUGAACUUUGGGUAAAAGAUUAACAGCCAGUCCUUUCUCUCCAGUGUCUGCUUCCUUCUGGGCUUGCCCUGGGGGAAAAGGAGGGCUGGCAUGGAUAUGCCUGCAGCCCUCACCCUAGAUGUUCUUCCACGCCUCUCUGUUCAUUCAUUGCUUAGUCAUUCCUCAGGCAUGGAUUGAGACCACUGUGUGCCCAGGACCGACCUGGCCUAGGAUGGACAUAGAGAUGGAAAAGGCACAGGGAGCAGGUGACAGAGACAAAUCAAGGUCAUGGAGAAUAGCAGAGUAAGAUAGAAGAUGAAGGCAGGAGAUGGGGUUCUUGAGAAAGCGAGAGCAGGACUGACCCGUGUCUGCCUCACCUGUUAUUGCUGUAGCCUCUUCUCCUUGGAGUAUCCCUCCUGCUCUUGCAUCACCUUAGGAACUUGGAUCAGAGAGGAAAGUUACGGCCUGGAUAUGUUGUAGUAGGAGGGGACAAACAUGUUUGGAGACAGAAAUGCUUGGGGAGCGGGUGUUUUUGGGGGAUGAGACUUUCCAGGUCUCUCAAUUCACACUAUGUAGGUAGUUCACUGCACAGCUUAAAUAAGAGACAACUCUCCGGAGUGGUUGGCUCUCAUCCAAAAAAUGUGUUUUGGGCCUCAGAUUUCCAACGGAAGGGCUGAAGCGUGACUGGCCUGAUGUCAACUACUGAAGUCCACCUGCCCCUGCCCUAUCAGGUGUGGAAAUGCUGGGGUUCCUCUCUCAGAACCUACUUCCUGAGAUGUCGAAAUAUACCCAAGAGUAUUUCUGGGCCUUCUCCAAUCCGAAACUGUUUAGUUUUUGUGUGUGUGUGCCUACUUGGCCACACUAGAAGACAGAGGUGGCCUGGGUGAAAUGCAGGUUUCUAGAGGCUCUCUGACAAAGCUCAGGCCACCAGCCCCAGGCCAGCCUGUGGGUAGUCCUGGCUGACAGUCACUUCAUACCUCACCUGGGCUUUUUGCCAAAUUCAAAGUGUGUGUAUAUGUGGAGUGCUGGGUUCCCACCACUGACAGUCUGUAAGUCAUUCACUUAGCUCAAUUUGUCUUACUUUCUUCUGAAAUUUCUUCCUUCUUGUUCUUUUUCCCAGGAGAAACCAGGAGAAGGCAGUCCUAGGGCAGUCUCCGGGCCAGCUUUCCCUAAUAAGAAGGCAGAGCUCCUCUUCACCCAGACUUCAGACCUAUAGAGGCAGCCUGGGGUCCCGGGAUGCCCUUGCACUCAGAGAUGUCCCCAGAGUCCUAGGGAAAUGGAGGAUAACUAGGAGGAAGCUGUUCAUGGCUGGCGAUGAGGUCUAUACCUUCUUGUCCGUCUCAGUGCUGUCUGCUAUUGAAUUUUUGUGCAGAUCACAUUAACUUAAAGCCAGUUCUCAAGAAGCUCCCCCUGCCGCCGGCAUAUCCACCAGUUGCUCCCCUUUCCUGCCAUUAAUCAGGGUCUGCUAGUUAGAGAACAAAUUCCUAUUUGUCCAAACAGUUGCCAACACCCCCACCCCAAGGUAGUUAAAUGAGGAUGAAUGGGUCAUUCUUAUUAAAAAAUGACUUAAAUUUCUCAAAUUCUAUUUAUGUUUCUUUUACAUCCCAAUUUUCUAUAGAUUUAGUGACUCCAAAUGAUAAGGUCUCAAGCUCAUAAUAAUUUAUCCCUUGGGUAACACACAAGGCUUGGUGGUAUUUCAGUAAUAUUCAUGACAACAGCAGCUGUCGUGCUAAUAAGGACUGAUGUCACCAGAGCACUUUCUAUGUGCCAAGCAUGGUGCACAACACUUUACAUACAUUAUGUCAUUUAAUUUUCACAAAACCUCACAGAGGUAAAUAUUAUUAUCUUCCUCUGCAUAUAAGGAAAUGAAUGUUCGGAAAGAUUAAGUCAACUCACUGAGGUCCCAUCAGUGCUCUUUCAUAUGCCUCUGUUGCAGUCUCAUUGAACUGCUGAAAUCAGAAAAACCUGGAGACCUUGUUAACCUUCAGAUUCCUGGGCCCCAUCUUAGAUGCAGGGAGUCAGACUUCCUGGGAGUGUGGCCCUGGAAUUUUCAUUUGUAAACACAUUCCCCAAGAGACCUGUAUGCACACUAAAGUGGGAGAAUUCACGAUCUCUGGCUUUUGUGAUGUUUUAAACGCACUAUAUAAUUUCAGUAGCAAAAGAAUUGGGCUUUGGGAAGGGAGUGUGUGGUGAACCCUGAAAGCUGAAUGGACUUCCUUCCUGUGGAGGAGCAGUGGGAGAAACUGGAGGCAGAGAGCUGUGUUUCAUUCCUUGAUUGAGCCUUUGUGAGUUAUUUAAUCUCUUUCAGUCUCUAUUUUUUUCAUUUGUAAACCAGGAAGGAUACUUGUAUUUUCCAGGUGGUUGUGAGGUGUGAAAGAGAUGAGAGUAGAACAAAAUUUUAAAAGUUGAAAGCACUCAACAAAUGUAUUUGGUAUUAAUCAUGGGUUUCCCUGGGGCCGAGGAAGCCACCAGCCACCGCAGGCCUGUACACAAUGCCAGCCACCAUGUAUGGAUACGGAGGAGGCAAAAGGACUAGCGAACACUCCCAGGGACUGGAUGUCUUGAAUAUCUGUCCAACUUUCUUGGGAGGGGCCAUUUCUUCUGUAACUCAAAGGAAUUUAUUAUUUUUCAGCCAGGGAGGCAUGCUUUCUAUCUACUGCUAGUACUCCCAGACCAAGCUGUUUCAGUGGGACUGAGGUGUGACUUCUGCCUCGGUUUCAUCCAUCUGUGCAGGGAAGAGAAAAAUGCCUGCACCUCCACGGUCACACCCUCUGUUGGAACCACCUCCUUAAGCCAGAAUUAUUGAAUGUUCUCUAUGUGCCAGAAUUAUUAUUAUCUCAUUUGAUUCUCACAACAAUGCCAUGAAGUCUAUACAGACAUACCUUGGAAAUACAGCGGGUUUGGUUCCAGACCACCGCAAUAAAGCUAAUACCGCAAUAAAAUGGGUCACACGAAUUUUUUGGAUUAGGCUUCGGCUUAAGGGAAUGUUGUGGCUGGUUUGAUGUUUUAUCCAGACCGCUAACACUUUCUCCCUAUCAGCAAUGAGGCUGUUUUGCUUUCUUAUCAUUCCUGUGUUCACUGGAGUAGCACUUUUAAUUUCCUUCAAGAACUUUUCCUUUGCAUUCAUAACUUGGCUAACUGUUUGGCACAAGAGGCCUGCCUAGCUUUUGGCCUAUCUAAGCUUUUGACUUGCCUUCCUCACUGAGCUUAAUCAUCUCUAGCCUUGGAUUUAACGUGGAAAAUGUGUGACCCUUCCUUUCACUUGAACACUUGGAAGCUAUUGUAGGGUUAUUAACUGGCCUAAUUCAAUAUUAUUGUGUCUCAGGGAACAGGGAGGCCCAGAGAGAGAGAGACGGGAAAACAGAAAGUCAGUGGGGCAGGCAGAACACACACGUUUAUUUAUUAAGUUUGCUGUCAUAUGUUGGUGCAGUUCAUGCUGCCCCAAAACAAUUACAAUAACAAGAUCAAAGAUUCCUGGUCAUAGAUUGCCAUAACAGAUACAGUAAUCACGAAAAAGUUUGAGAUAUUGUGAGAAUUACGCAGAUAUUGUGAGAAAUAUGACCCAGAGACAAGAAGCGAGCACAUGCCGUUAGAAAAAUGGCACCAACAGACUUGCUUGCUGCAGGGUUACACAUACCUUCAAUUUGUAAAAAAAAAAAACUGUAAUAUCUGCAAAACGCAAUAAAGAAAAGUGUAAUAAAAUGCAGUCUGCCUGAACUUCAAUUAUUCCCAUUUUAUAGAAGAGGAAAUAGAUGCAGGGAGUUUGAUCUGCCUGAACUAGUAAAUGGUAGAACUCUGGGACUAACAUUCCUAUCCUCUAUGCUACAUUCCUAGGAAAGAACGCUCAGACAGGGUUGGACUGAGAGUGUGUUAAGCUUUGCACUGUUUUGAGCCCUCUGAAGGAGUGUCCGUAUUUGAAAGCUGGCCUCCUUCCUUUCACUGGCCCUCCACAGUGUGGCCUAAGUUAUUCAAUUAGGAAGGGAAAUAAUUGGCAGUGGAGAAUGCCUCUAGCAGUGGUAAUUACCUCCAGUGCCUUGUAGGAAUAGUCAAGCUACAUUUCAGUUUAUGCUGUAAAACCUUAAUUAUAAUAUAAACAGCUGCCCUUCAGCCCAGUGGGGCAGCCUUCCCCCGCCUUCCUUCUCUGGCCUCUGAAUGGCCCUGCCUCCUGAAUGGUCAGGGAGGUCCAGGGACGGAAGGAGACCUGGGAGGAGGGGAGCCGAUGACUAUGCGUGCGUUGGGGUUUGGAAGACUAAGCUGGAGGGAGCCACUGCCAGGGUCCCAUCUUCAAGUGAUGAAGCCAAAGGCAGCAUCCCCAUUCUUGGUACCACUCACACUGAGUCUCUUGGGGGAGCAGCCUCCAGCCAUUAGCAGUCAGCCCAGUGCCAUUAGGCUAGGAUAGGGUUUAGCAGGCUAUGGUAUCAUUUCAGGGUAACAUCUCUUUCUAUUUACUCCCCUAUAAGGGAGAACAGAGUCUUCCCUUCUAGAUCCAGACUUCCUGGCCAUGUAGGAGCCCUGUUGAGUGCCUGGUGCACUCUAGGUAGUAUGCGAGGCAUGGUUGCAAGGGUUCCCCAUUUCAACUUCACAGCACUUGGAUACACAGAAAAUUAACAUCCUCAUUUGACUAUUGAGGAAAAUGAGACUUUGAAAGUUUAAACGGAGAUAAGGCUUGGGAGGCAGACAGCCCUGUAAGUGACUUAAGUUCAGGAAGGAGAAGGACACUCAAUAUUUUUGUUCAGAGCACUGGGAAGGAGAGAGAGGGAUCAGUCACCAUCGGGCAUUUGAGAAGGUCCAGGAACAGGGGGCUGGUGAGCAGAGGGGGGAAUAACACCAGAGGGGCUGAAAUUGCUGAUUGCUGGGUUCACAGAUCUACCCACGAGCGGCCCAGGUACCCCAUGAGCGGCUGCUCUGUGUCAUCUGACCACUGGAUUGUAACCUGGGCUGAAAGAAUCAGAAGUCAGUGUGGCGAGGCAGGAGUCCUCAGAUGGUCAGAGCUGACUCUUCAACUCUUAAGGGCAAAAUGGAAAAUGUGAGCUUGUUGGUGGUCUUCGAAACACAGUAAGCAAUCCAUGCCCCUGAAGAGCAGGGAUAAUUAUAGGCAUGCCCUUGUUUUAUUGUGCUUUGCAGAUAUUGCAUGUUUUUACAAAUUGAAGAUUUAUGGCAACUCUGCAUACAGCAAAUCUAUUGAUGCCAUCUUUUUCCAAUAUCACAUGCUCACUCUGUGUCUCUGUCUCACAUUUUGGUAGUUCUCCCAAUAUUUCACACCUUAUUAUUAUUAUUAUAUCUGUUAUGAUGAUCUGUGGUCAGGGAUCUUUGAGGUUACUAUUGUAGUUGUUUUGAGGUGCCAUGAACUGCACCCAUGUAAGACAGCGAACAUAAUCAAUAAAUGUUGUGUGUUCUGACUGCUCCACCAACCGACUGUUUCCCUGUCUCUUUCUCUCUCCUCUGGCUCCCUAUUCCCUGAGGCACAAUCAUAUUGAAAUUAGGCCAAAUAAUAACCCUACAAUGGCUUCUAAAGGUUCAAGUAAAAGGAAGAGUCACAUCUCUUACUCUAAAUCAAAAGCUAGAAAUGAUUAAGCUUAGUGAGGAAGGCAUGUGGAAAGCUGAGA